AGUGAACGCUGGCGGUAGGCCUAACACAUGCGAGUCGAACGGCAGCACAGUAAGAGCUUGCUCUUACGGGUGGCGAGUGGCGGACGGGGGAGGAAUACAUCGGAAUCUACUUUUUCGUGGGGGAUAACGUAGGGAAACUUACGCUAAUACCGCAUACGACCUACGGGUGAAAGCAGGGGAUCUUCGGACCUUGCGCGAUUGAAUGAGCCGAUGUCGGAUUAGCUAGUUGGCGGGGUAAAGGCCCACCAAGGCGACGAUCCGUAGCUGGUCUGAGAGGAUAAUCAGCCACACUGGAACUGAGACACGGUCCAGACUCCUACGGGAGGCAGCAGUGGGGAAUAUUGGACAAUGGGCGCAAGCCUGAUCCAGCCAUACCGCGUGGGUGAAGAAGGCCUUCGGGUUGUAAAGCCCUUUUGUUGGGAAAGAAAAGCAGCAGGUUAAUACCCCGCUGUUCUGACGGUACCCAAAGAAUAAGCACCGGCUAACUUCGUG
rnacentral:rRNA from 1 species